GUUGCGCGAGCAGCGGGGCCCGGAGCGAGGCUGCUGCCGCGGCCGGGGGCGCCUCCUGACGCGGGCUGGGCCCCGGGCCCCGCGCCCGGCCUGCCAGAGGGAGGACGAUGGUGGCACAGGGACCGUCCAGCUCAGAAAUAAAGCAGCUGCAUAGACCUGCUCAGAAAGGAAGAGUAAUUUACCCACACAGAAAUGUUUACAAAGCCUGCAUUCCAGCCUGAGCUCCAGACCUGAUUGCACGGCACGGUGUCGGAAGGACUGCAUCGUCCCUAUGUCUUGGCAAGCCAGCUUAUGGAGACCAUACUCUUCAUGGAUGAAAGCCACUCUUUCCUACCUUUCCUGUUGCUUCUUUAUUGUCUCCAU
rnacentral:lncRNA from 1 species